GGGGGUGUGGCGCAACUGGUAGCGCAGCUGCCUUCGGGCAGAAGCUAGAGGUUCGAGUCCUUUCGCCUCCACCG
rnacentral:tRNA from 1 species